CCUACGGGGGGCAGCAGUGGGGAAUAUUGCACAAUGGGGGGAACCCUGAUGCAGCGACGCCGCGUGAGUGAAGAAGUAUUUCGGUAUGUAAAGCUCUAUCAGCAGGGAAGAAAAUGACGGUACCUGACUAAGAAGCCCCGGCUAACUACGUGCCAGCAGCCGCGGUAAUACGUAGGGGGCAAGCGUUAUCCGGAUUUACUGGGUGUAAAGGGAGCGUAGACGGCAGAGCAAGUCUGAAGUGAAAGCCCGGGGCCCAACUGCGGGACUGCUUUGGAAACUGCCCGGCUAGAGUGCUGGAGAGGUAAGCGGAAUUCCUAGUGUAGCGGUGAAAUGCGUAGAUAUUAGGAGGAACACCAGUGGCGAAGGCGGCUUACUGGACAGUAACUGACGUUGAGGCUCGAAAGCGUGGGGAGCAAACAGGAUUAGAUACCCCUGUAGUC
rnacentral:rRNA from 1 species